rnacentral:misc_RNA from 1 species
UAUCCGUUGGUGAACCAGCGGAGGGAUCAUUACCAGAGUUUUACAACUCCCAACCCUUCUGUGAACCUACCAAUUGUUGCUUCGGCGGACUCGCCCGAUCGUCCGGACGGCCCCGCGCGGGCCCGCGACCUGGAACCAGGCGGCCGCCGGAGACCACACAUUCCUGCAUCCAUCAGUCUCUAUGAAUCGGCCGCAAGGCAAAACAAACGAAUCAAAACUUUCAGCAAUGGAUCUCUUGGUUCUG